UACGUAGGGUGCAAGCGUUAUUCGGAAUUACUGGGCGUAAAGCGCGCGCAGGCGGUUAUGUAAGUCAGAUGUGAAAUCCCCGGGCUCAACCUGGGAACUGCAUUUGUGACUGCAUGGCUAGAGUACGGUAGAGGGGGUUGGAAUUCCGCGUGUAGCAGUGAAAUGCGUAGAUAUGCGGAGGAACACCGAUGGCGAAGGCAAUCCCCUGGACCUGUACUGACGCUCAUGCACGAAAGCGUGGGGAGCAAACAGG
rnacentral:rRNA from 1 species